UACGGAAGGGGCUAGCGUUGUUCGGAAUCACUGGGCGUAAAGGGCGCGUAGGCGGCUUGGCAAGUGGAUGGUGAAAUCCCUCGGCUUAACCGAGGAACUGCCGUCCAAACUGCUUCGCUUGAGACCGGGAGAGGUGAGUGGAAUUCCCAGUGUAGCGGUGAAAUGCGUAGAUAUUGGGAGGAACACCAGUGGCGAAGGCGGCUCACUGGACCGGUACUGACGCUGAUGCGCGAAAGCGUGGGGAGCAAACGGG
rnacentral:rRNA from 1 species